rnacentral:rRNA from 1 species
UAGCGCCUCGUGAACUCAUCUUCGGGGGUAGAGCACUGUUUCGACUAGGGGGUCAUCCCGACUUACCAACUCGAUGCAAACUGCGAAUACCGAAGAAUGUUAUCACGGGAGACACACGGCGGGUGCUAACGUCCGUCGUGAAGAGGGAAACAACCCAGACCGCCAGCUAAGGUCCCAAAGUCAUGGUUAAGUGGGAAACGAAGUGGGAAGGCUCAGACAGCCAGGAUGUUGGCUUAGAAGCAGCCAUCAUUUAAAGAAAGCGUAAUAGCUCACUGGUCGAGUCGGCCCGCGCGGAAGAUGUAACGGGGCUAAACCAUGCACCGAAGCUGCGGCAGCGACACAAAGUGUUGUUGGGUAGGGGAGCGUUCUGUAAGCCUGCGAAGGUGUACUGUGAGGUAUGCUGGAGGUAUCAGAAGUGCGAAUGCUGACAUAAGUAACGAUAAUGCGGGUGAAAAACCCGCACGCCGGAAGACCAAGGGUUCCUGUCCAACGUUAAUCGGGGCAGGGUGAGUCGACCCCUAAGGCGAGGCUGAAAAGCGUAGUCGAUGGGAAACGGGUUAAUAUUCCCGUACUGGUGGUAACUGCGAUGGGGGAACGGAGAAGGCUAGGUUGUCCGGGCGACGGUCGUCCCGGUUCAAGCAGGUAGGCAGAGUGAUUAGGCAAAUCCGGUCACUUAAUGC